rnacentral:rRNA from 4 species
AACGAGACCUUAACCUGCUAAAUAGCCAGGCCGGCUUUCGCUGGUCGCCGGCUUCUUAGAGGGACUGUCAGCGUCUAGCUGACGGAAGUUUGAGGCAAUAACAGGUCUGUGAUGCCCUUAGAUGUUCUGGGCCGCACGCGCGCUACACUGACAGAGCCAGCGAGUUUUUCACCUUGGCCGGAAGGUCUGGGUAAUCUUGUGAAACUCU